rnacentral:lncRNA from 1 species
CACUUGUAUAUGCACAUAUACUUGCACUUGUAUAUGCACUUAUACUUGCACUUGUACUAAUUUACCUUACCUUUUGACGAACUUUUUUAGGUUGUGCAAAAUUUCUUAGAAAGCAAACCCGAAGCUCUUAAAGAAGUUCUUAAUUUGAUGUUUCAUUUGAUAUUGGGAGGUAGGGGCACACACAGAUGGACAAGAAUACAUGAAAUACAUAUGUUACGUGUCAUGUUUUGUUGUAUAUUGGUGUUAGUCAUUUACAUAUCUGCCACAUGAGUGUAUAUUUUUUUUUUUUUUUUUGCUCAACUACAAAAACAGGCGAUUUCGGUAGUACGUGGAGUAUAUCUCAACCAUUGUUAGGAUUAAUAUUGUUAGAUACGCAUGGCUAUUUCAAAAUUCAGGAGCAAUUAAUUUCACAACAAAGCGAAGAUAAAAAGCAAAAAUUAAGACAUAGCUUUUUUAAAUUAAUGGACGAUAUCGAAUCAAAUUUAGCCCCAACUAAUAGAGAAAAUUUUACUAGAAACCUGUAUACAUUUGCUCAAGAAAUAAGAAAUAUUUUAAUAUAAAAAAAAAAAAAAAAAAAAAAAAAAAAAAAUUGAAUUAUAGAAAAAAAAAAAAAAAAAAAAAAAAUACAAAUCGAAUAGAACAAAUAGGAUUGUGCAAAAGGAAUAGACACCGAAUAUUUAUUUUUUUUUUUACUUAUUAAAGACAUAUACAUAUAUGUAUAUAUAUAUAUAUAUAUAUAUAUAUAUAUUGACCAAUUUUAUUAAAGUAAUUAUUUUUUUUUUUUUUUUUAUGCCACUUUAUCAUAAUAAACUUUUAUACUUUUCUUAAAAUUUUAUACUU